rnacentral:rRNA from 1 species
CCUACGGGAGGCAGCAGUGGGGAAUAUUGGGCAAUGGAGGCAACUCUGACCCAGCGACGCCGCGUGAGUGAUGAAGGUUUUCGGAUUGUAAAGUUCUGUCAUGGGGGAUGAACACAAUGACGGUACCCCAAUAGCAAGCCACGGCUAACUACGUGCCAGCAGCGGCGAUAAUACGGAGGUGGCAAGCGUUAGGCGGAAUGACUGGGGGUAAGGGGGGCGUCGGGGGUUUAGGAAGUUGGCGGGGUAAUUCCGGGGCUCAACCCCGGAGCUGCCGAGAAAACUGUGAGGCUAGAGUGCAGGGGGGGUAAGUGGAAUUCCUAGUGUAGCGGUGGAAUGCGUAGAUAUUAGGAGGAACACCAGCGGCGAAGGCGACUUACUGGACUGUAACUGACACUGAGGCACGAAAGCGUGGGGAGCAAACAGGAUUAGAUACCCUGGUAGUC